GCAAGUCGAGGGGCAGCAUUUCUAGCUUGCUAGAAGAUGGCGACCGGCGCACGGGUGCGUAACGCGUAUACAAUCUGCCUAUCACUGAGGGAUAGCCCGAAGAAAUUUGGAUUAACACCUCAUAGUAUUGUUUAGCCGCAUGGUUUUACAAUUAAAGGUUACGGUGAUAGAUGAGUAUGCGUCCUAUUAGCUAGAUGGUAAGGUAAAGGCUUACCAUGGCUACGAUAGGUAGGGGUCCUGAGAGGGAGAUC
rnacentral:rRNA from 1 species